CCUGGAACAGUUUUCUUUAAUCUGAAUUUUGGUUCUCCAAAAUUUAGCCUGGUGAAUCUGAACGAAGCCUGGAUCGCGAUCAACACUUGAUUUUUCACCUUGAUCUUCUUCUUCUCCUCUUCUCUAAAGUUUCUCCUUGCUAUGUGCUGCUACCAGAUGUUAGAAACUAGCAAGAAAGAGGCACCUAAACUCCUUUGGGCAUGAAACUCCUUGGGAUGCGCGUCC
rnacentral:lncRNA from 1 species